UCGAAUAUAGGUUAAAACGGAUAAAAAUUGGAACGAUACAAAGAAGAUUAGCAUGGCCCUUGUGGAAGGAUGACACAUAAAUUGAAAAAUUGUCCAAGAUUUUU